GAUGAACGCUAGCGGCAGGCUUAAUACAUGCAAGUCGAGGGGCAGCGCAGUGUAGCAAUACAUGGGCGGCGACCGGCAAACGGGUGCGGAACACGUACAGAACCUUCCUUCGAGCGGGGAAUAGCCCAGAGAAAUUUGGAUUAAUACCCCAUAGUAUAUUGAUAAGGCAUCUUAUUAAUAUUAAAGAUUAUCACUUGAAGAUGGCUGUGCGGCUGAUUAGGAGGUUGGCGGGGUAACGGCCCACCAAGCCUGCGAUCAGUAACUGGUGUGAGAGCACGACCAGUCACACGGGCACUGAGACACGGGCCCGACUCCUACGGAGGCAGCAGUAAGGAAUAUUGGUC
rnacentral:rRNA from 1 species